AGAGUUUGAUCCUGGCUCAGAACGUACGCUGGCGGCACGCCUAAUACAUGCAAGUCGAACGGAGUAGCAAUACUUAGUGGCAGACGGGUGAGUAACAUGUGGGUAUCUUCCCUUUGGUGAGGAAUAACACGAGGAAACUUGUGCUAAUACCUCAUAAGUCUUUACGGAGAAAGCUUUAUGCGCCAAUGGAUGAGCCUGCACUUGAUUAGUUUGUUGGUGGGGUAAUGGCCUACCAAGACUUUGAUCAAUAGCUGAUUUGAGAGGAUGAUCAGCCACAUUGGGACUGAGACACGGCCCAAACUCCUACGGGAGGCAGCAGUAGGGAAUCUUGCACAAUGGAGGAAACUCUGAUGCAGCGAUGCCGCGUGAGUGAAGAAGGCCUUUGGGUUGUAAAGCUCUUUCGUCGGGGAAGAAAAUGACUGUACCCGAAUAAGAAGGUCCGGCUAACUUCGUGCCAGCAGCCGCGGUAAUACGAAGGGACCUAGCGUAGUUCGGAAUUACUGGGCUUAAAGAGUUCGUAGGUGGUUAAAAAAGUUGAUGGUGAAAUCCCAGAGCUUAACUCUGGAACUGCCAUCAAAACUUUUUAGCUAGAGUAUGAUAGAGGAAAGCAGAAUUUCUAGUGUAGAGGUGAAAUUCGUAGAUAUUAGAAAGAAUACCAAUUGCGAAGGCAGUUUUCUGGAUCAUUACUGACACUGAGGAACGAAAGCAUGGGUAGCGAAGAGGAUUAGAUACCCUCGUAGUCCAUGCCGUAAACGAUGUGUGUUAGACGUUGGAAAUUUAUUUUCAGUGUCGCAGCGAAAGCAAUAAACACACCGCCCUGGGGGGAGUACGACCGCAAGGUUUAAAACUCAAAUGAAUUUGACGGGGACCCCGCACAAGUAGUGGCAGCAUGGUGGAUUUAAUUCGAGAUACGCGCAGAACCUACUACACUGACAUGUCGUCGCGACCUUUAGAGAUAAAGGUUUUCCGAUCCGUCGAACGGAAACACAGUGCUGCAUGGUCCUGUCCGUCAGCUCGGUGCUCGAUGGA
rnacentral:rRNA from 1 species